UUGGCACACAUUGAAAUUAUCGCUGUCAACGGGGUGUAAGGGGUGGCAGAAAAAUAACCGCGUAUUCGUAUGCGGUAUAUGCAGUUGAGCGAAGAUUUCUCACGAGCAACUUCAAUACAAGUUAACCCCUCGCUAAUGUUGAAGAUAACCGUAAAGGCGACUUACCAUCACGUAGGCCAGCUGCCAGCACAAAGCCGAAGUCUAACAAUCGAAAGGAACGAUCCCGCAAACAAAACUGAAUCCCCCUCCCCCUUCUCCCUUUCCUUUGCAUCCCUAUAGUACUUCCAUAUGGCCCUCUACCCUGUGAUUAAAGAAUUUUUCCGAAUUUCUCCGAUGCGAUUCGUAAAACCUUACGAAAAUUCAAAUGAGAUGCACCAGGCAGCUCGAAAAUUCCUCGAACGAGCCAUUGUGAAUAAGCAACUCCCGAUUAGACCGGUUCAAGUAACCUGCUUACAAGAGGAAUGCUCCGCGAGAAGAAUAGUAGUUGUUUCGUUGCCUGUUUUCAGGAUAAUAGAGGCGAAAUGUUUCCUGAGGCGACGGGCCCGUGUAAUCAGGCUAUGCAUACAAGCCUCCCUUUCGCCUGGAACCCUUACUAUCGUUGCGACAAUAUUUUAUCUUACCCAAGGAGAAUUCAUCUCGUUAUCUCGACUGUCCCUUCGAAAAUAAGUUUUUCAAUUUACAUAGCCCACCGUUUUACGACGUGGUUAGUCUAUUUUCAUAUCUAGAAAUUCAUUGAGUUCGAGGGUUGAGUUACCAGAUCAUAGACGAACUGCUCGUUUUUAUUUGAUCAAGAUUUUUCCAAAUUAUUUCAAAGAACAAUGUCACAGAUCUUGGUAUUAUUUUUUGAAAUAUUUUUAUCAAAUUUUCAUUUUUACUGAAAACUUCAUUGAAUACUUUGAGGUGAUUACGUUAUAUUAUCUGAAGGAAUAAUUAUGUCAGAUUAUCGCAAACGUUUUGUUCAUUUCCGUUGUCGUCAAUGGAAGCUGGAUACCAAAAUAUGUGGUUAAAUAAAAGAUAGAGAUAGUACCCACGCGAAAAGGGCGGGCCCUUCCGGCUAUAUUUAUUACCGAUAAGCUAUCUACACGAUAAAAUUUCCCAAAACAGAUCCCGCCUCAACAGAGUCAUGCUGAUUAAUUUUUUUUUUUUUAUUAUUCAAUUAACAACAGAUUUGUGAAGUUUCAAAUUUUACUGUAAUUUUAGAAUAUUAAGAGAAAGUAAAACAUCAGUCGUUAUAUUUAACAGAGCUCAGGAUUGAAUAUAAGAAGCGAGCUGUAUAUAACAGGCUGAUAUGGAAAAAUCAUUUUAUUGACUUUGAGUAAUUAGCGAUUUUCUUCGUGGCAGUGAUCCGAGUUUUACAUACCAACCGGAAAGGCAAAGAAUCUGAGCGUACAUAAAACAUAUGUCGAUAGUUAUAAUCUACAAGCAAUAAAAAUGAUCUGUAACAAUAAAUCUUAGAAUGCAGCACAGAGAACGAUAAGUGCUACCGUGGAUUGUACAUUAAAAAAACUUCUUUGUCGAUGAUUAAUAAACAGAAGAAUAAUUCUGUGCGUUGUAAUUAAAUGAUAGAAAGUAAUUUGAAAAUUAUAAAAAUAGGACGUUGUUCUACGAAAUAUUCACGAUAGAAAUAUACUUGAGGCAAAUUUUUAUAUUUUCUAAAAAAAUAGAAAUCUUUUAUACGUUUAUUAUUUCUCGUCGUAUUCAACUUAUUAAAUAUUUUUAACAGCAAGGCAGGGUAUUGGACAACCACUGUUGGGUGUUCUGAAUGAACUCAUUAUGUAU